GUUCAUUAGUAGUUUAUGGUAUUGUGUAUGAUACAUAUGAAUGUAAGCUGUGUAUGGGGGCUGCUUGUGGAAUUGUGUGUGUGGAUGGAUAUGUCACAUUGUGUGUUUGGUAGUGUGUGGGGGCUAUUUGAGGUAUUGCAUGUGAGAAGCUGCAUGUGUGGUUGUGUGCAUGUAUGUGGAUUGUUAGCGGGUUACGUUUGUACAAAUUGUGUGUUGUGUUUGUG